rnacentral:lncRNA from 1 species
GACCACAGUUCACUGAGCACCUACUGUGUGCCGGACACUUUAGCAAUAUCCGUCAGCUCACAGUUUGGUGGUUCAUGCAGGCUCAGGUGCCAGUCUGCCCAGCACAUGAUGUGGGUAGGUGGCUUCUGCACGUUGUGCCUCAGUAUCCUCACCUGUGAGAGGGAGGUCGCAGCAAGAGCCUACACCGGGUGUGUGAUUACUGCGUGCGCAGCUUUACUUAAAGCGCCUGUGCUGUGUUAACUCAUUUACUCCUCACAGCAAAGUUACGAGGCAGGAUUGAUUGGUUGAUUGAUUGAUUUAUGAUGGAGUCUCACUCUGUCGUCCAGGCUGGAGUACAGUGGUGUGAUCUAUGCUCACUGCACGCAACCUCUGCCUCCCGGCUUCAGGUGAUUCUCAUGAGGCAGGUAUUAUUAUUCCUGUUUUACAGAGGGAGAAACUGAGCCAGAGAGAGUGGGCAGCGCUAGGAUCUACCUCAUAGGGUGGGGCCAUGGCUGCAGCAUCAGUCAGACUGAGGUAAGGCACUUAGGGCUGUGCUCAGCCCAGGGAAUGAUAGUGUUCUUAUCCUUACUCCACAUAUGAAGAAACUGAGGCUCAGAGGAGAGAAGGAACUUGAAUGCCACUCAACAAGUCAGGGACUGGGGCUUAAAAGGAGCCCUCCAUGAACACUGGUCCUCACUGCGAUCCCCGCCCUGCUUGAGCUGGGGAGUUCCGAGUCCGGUUGCAGUUGUAUCACUUGGGGUGGUGAAUGGGUGACUCUGAAGUCGGAGCCUGACUCACAGUCUGGGGCUUGGGGGUCCUGGGGAACCUGGCUUGGGCUCUUGGUGGGAGGUGCGCUUAUAGGCAGGGCCCCUAGGGCUGUGGAUUC